AGAUGACUUCUUCGCCACUAUCAUUUUGAGUCGUAUUUUAAAGGAAGAUUUACAAGCAAUAGCAUGCAAUGAUUUUACUAUAGCCAACUUAUUAAAUGAAGAUCCAAAACCAGGAAGUCAAAUGCAGUUUGAGAUUUAUUAAGAAAAGUGUGUUAUAUAACAGGAUAUAGAAGAGGCAGAUCAUUAUUUUCACACUCCAUCACAGCAGGUGGCGGUAUGCACCUUUAAAGUUGGUUCGUAACCCGCCAUUAAACCAAAAGAAGAAGAUGAAGAUUGUAACGUCAGCUCAUCGUAAGCAUUAGAUUAUUCACCCAGUGUUUAUUCACAAGAUUGACCGAAGCUUAUUUAGAUGACCAAAUUAUGAACAUUGUGACCCACCCUGAGGCUGUAAGAGUGUGCCUGAUGAGAGAAUGCGUACUUGAAGCAGUUAUAGGACAUAAUAUAUUCAAGAAGACCAAGCGAUCCUUAUAGGACUACAUGCAAAGCAAUGUACUCCAGACCGCACAACUGGACAUACAGAUUGUGCCCUGAUGCCAUCUGCCCCGUUCUCCCAGCCUCAUCUUCCCUCCCUAUGCCUAGCUUCACAUCGGUUGGCUCUUCUUUGGCUCUCUUCAUCCCGUCUGCCUGCCUCGCUGCUCUCCCUGAUAACAUUUCCUGACUGAUGCCUUGCACUCUGACUCUUUCUGCAAGGUGCCAUUCUCAGCAGUGACUCAAUUUAGUGCCACCCUGCUGCUUGGCAUUGCACUUCUGAGGUCAUCACCA